rnacentral:lncRNA from 1 species
GUUAUAGCCAAAUUUGGCUAGGUCCUUGUUGGGCCAGGUAUGUACUUAGUUUAACUAAGUAAGACAUGAAUUGGGCUAAGAGUCCUAUAUAAAGGAAGGACGCGUCCUCCUGCUUAUAAAGUGAGGACGCGACCGACCCUUGAAGAGACUAGUCUGAACGGAAGGGCGCAGCCCUCCGUGAUAUGACUGAUCCGCCGAUGUUGCGUAUCUUAAUGAAGAGGACGCGUCCUCCGCGUCGGAAGGAGGGAUGCGUCCUCCAGGUCACACGUGUCCCAUGAAGAGGACGCGUCCUCCUGCUUAUAAAGGGAGGAUGCGAUCGACCUUUGGUGUUGCGUGAAGAGGACGCGUCCUCCUGCUUAUAAAGGGAGGAUGUGACCGACCAUUGGUGUUGCGUGAAGAGGACGCGUCUUCCGAGUCACAAGGAGGGACGCCUUACUUGAGAGUAUUGAUGGAGAGACGCGACCGACCUCCGUCCACCCACGUCGUGUAAUCUAUGGAGGAGGGCGCGCCCUCUUCGGAGGUGACCGAGGGGCGCGUCCCUUGUAAGAAGUUGACCAUGAGAUGAAGACCAAGGGCGUGCCUUUAACGGGGUGUCCUCGCCUCCCCGGGGGCGCGACCUCAUGUUAAAGAAGGACCUGUCUGAUGUGUUGUUGGAGUGGUCGAUGGGACGAGACGGCGAAGGCAAGGGCGCGCCCUCAGGGGUCGCUCCCACAUGUAAACACAUAUUGUAAGAAGGCUCUUCCUAUAGGAGAGCGUACAUUCGCUGAGACAACCCUUCCGAGGGAGACGAAGACCGCCCCUCCGGGGAUAGGAAGACCUACCCCUCCGGGGGAUAUGACGACCCCUCCGGGGGAUACGACGACUCUUCCGAGGUGUUGUAGCCGUUUUUGUAUAUCAUGUGGAGGGGAGGACGCGCCCUCCCCAGACAUGGCCCGGGAGGUGUGGUCUCUUGUCCAGUAAGGAGGAUUGAAGACAAGAUAAGGGAAGGACGCGCCCUCCCCAGACAUGGCCCGGGAGGUGCGGUCUCUUGUCCAGUAAACAGGGAUGAAGACGGGAAUUGGGAAGGACACGUCCUCCCUAUCAGGGCGCGUCCUUUGACUCAGAAGAGGCAUAGUUAUGAAAUACAUGAUGAAAGAAAGAGGAUGAGUGAGUCUCCGUGACGACCCUUCCGAGGGAUAUGAAGACUAGUUACCAAGCUCAUUUGGUAGUUAUCAGGCUCAUCUGAUAGUUCCCGGGCUCAUCCGGGCAUGAUCUACAAUCCUCAAUCCUGCUAUCUGCCGAGUUAACCCUCGUGUGGGGGCUUGAGGUGAUCAUGGCUCUUGAAGGCCCUCCGGGGUAACACGAAGGCCGAUCAUAUGUCUGGAUCCUGUAUUCUGGUGAGUUAGCCCUCAUCGGGGGAUUGAGACGAUCGUGUAAUUCGGCUCCUUGUCUACCUUGUUUGAAGAUGAAGACCUCACCGAGAGGUGAGGACGUGUCCCUGCACCUCGAG